rnacentral:lncRNA from 1 species
UCCCUUGUGUGAUGUCAGCAAGUCAUUGGAAGUCACCUAUAAGGGUUUAGCCUGGACUUCAGUGUUAUAUUUAUGAGUGAAAUUUACAUUCACAAAUCACUAAUGACCUACUGAAAUGCCAGGCAGAGAAAAACCAAAAGACCAGGAAAAGGUGAACAUUAGCCUUUGAAAUUUCUACAUGGAAACCUAAGUGACGGCUGACACCCUUCAGAAGAUUGAGGAAGACUCACUCCAUCUUAAUUUGUAAUGUACAUACCUGAUGAGUUGCUUUCCAUCUACUACUUAAAGGUAACCUUUGCAGUACUAUUUGUGAUGCCAGAAAUUGGAAACAUUGAGAAUGCAUCAGUAGUGGAAAUGAUAGGGAAAAAUGCUGUAUAUUUGUAAGCUGGAAUAUUAGUCAACAGUGAAAGUGUAUAACUUGGAUGUCUAUCUAUUGUAAAAUUAUAUUUUUUGAGAAAAACUCGUCAUAAAGACACCUUCAGGAUGGUAUUCAGUAAAAUUCUAAUAGUACAAAAUACUAUAUUUUAUUCAGUGAUAGAGAUUAUAGAAGUAUGCAAAAAAGACUUUAAAGAUUUAUAAUGCAUUUAAAAGUGUUUCCGAGGAGGGGAGCGUAGUCAGUCUAAGGAUGGGGACAAAUGGGAUUUCAGCAUUAUCUAUAGCUGGAGAAAUAUGACAAAAUGGGAUUUCAGCAUUAUCUAUAGCUGAAGAAAUAUGACAAAUACCAGUUUGGUACAUCAAGGGUGUGGAUACACAACUUUUACUUUUUGGACUUACUUUAAAAAAAUAUAGAAACAAGGCUUCCAAACUUGAUGACACUAGAAUUGAAAAUCAGCCACAAAGGACUUACCUCCGGAGCUGGCUGAUGGUGCUGAAACACAUACAAAAAAAAACAUGAGUUGCAGCGUUAGAAUUUGGGUCCCUAGCUUUUGCGCAUCAGCUUCAGGCUUGUCACUUGUUUCUCAGGAAUUCAGCGAGGCCUUACUGACCAGGUGAUGACUACUCGGAGACCACUUGAACCAGAAUACUUCUGCAGUCCCAAUUUGACCAGUACAUUUAUAUUUCUUUGUCUGGAGAUGAUACAGGGGAGACUAAGAGAGCUGGGGAACUUACUGGGCUACCUAGAGGUGACUGAUCUCUUCAGGGCUGUGACCCCUCCUCAUGCGUGCACUCCUCACUUCAUCAGACGCAGUCAGUCCAAGCUGGGCAACCCAUGCGUUUCACUUGAGUUCUGACACCCACCUAAUGCUUUAAUUCUCAAAUACUUGGGAUUAGAAAGGGAAAAUUGGAGGAAAAAG